GACGAACGCUGGCGGCGUGCUUAACACAUGCAAGUCGAACGAGGUCCAUCCUUCGGGAGAAGACCUAGUGGCGAACGGGUGAGUAACACGUGAGCAACCUGCCCCGAAGACCGGGAUAACAGCGGGAAACCGCUGCUAAUACCGGAUACCCCCAUUGGGUCACAUGGCCCGAUGAGGAAAUGGAUUCCGCUUCGGGAGGGGCUCGCGGCCUAUCAGCUUGUUGGUGGGGUAACGGCCUACCAAGGCGACGACGGGUAGCUGGUCUGAGAGGACGAUC
rnacentral:rRNA from 1 species